rnacentral:rRNA from 1 species
CUGGCGGCAGGCCUAACACAUGCAAGUCGAGCGCUCACUUCGGUGGGAGCGGCGGACGGGUUAGUAACGCGUGGGAAUAUGCCCGGUACUAAGGAAUAGCCUUUGGAAACGAAGAGUAAUACCUUAUACGCCCUUCGGGGGAAAGAUUUAUCGGUAUCGGAUUAGCCCGCGUAAGAUUAGAUAGUUGGUGGGGUAAUGGCCUACCAAGUCUACGAUCUUUAGCUGGUUUUAGAGGAUGAUCAGCAACACUGGGACUGAGACACGGCCCAGACUCCUACGGGAGGCAGCAGUGGGGAAUCUUAGACAAUGGGCGCAAGCCUGAUCUAGCCAUGCCGCGUGAGUGAAGAAGGCCUUAGGGUCGUAAAACUCUUUCGCCAGAGAUGAUAAUGACAGUAUCUGGUAAAGAAACCCCGGCUAACUCCGUGUCAGCAGCCGCGGUAAUACGGAGGGGGUUAGCGUUGUUCGGAAUUACUGGGCGUAAAGCGCACGUAGGCGGACUGGAAAGUUGGGGGUGAAAUCCCGGGGCUCAACCUCGGAACUGCCUCCAAAACUAUCAGUCUAGAGUUCGAGAGAGGUGAGUGGAAUUCCAAGUGUAGAGGUGAAAUUCGUAGAUAUUUGGAGGAACACCAGUGGCGAAGGCGGCUCACUGGCUCGAUACUGACGCUGAGGUGCGAAAGUGUGGGGAGCAAACAGGAUUAGAUACCCUGGUAGUCCACACCGUAAACGAUGAAUGCCAGUCGUCGGCAAGUAUACUUGUCGGUGACACACCUAACGGAUUAAGCAUUCCGCCUGGGGAGUACGGUCGCAAGAUUAAAACUCAAAGGAAUUGACGGGGGCCCGCACAAGC